rnacentral:rRNA from 1 species
UACGUAGGGUGCAAGCGUUAAUCGGAAUUACUGGGCGUAAAGCGUGCGCAGGCGGUUAUGUAAGACAGUUGUGAAAUCCCCCGGGCUCAACCUGGGAACUGCAUCUGUGACUGCAUAGCUAGAGUACGGUAGAGGGGGGAUGGAAUUCCGCGUGUAGCAGUGAAAUGCGUAGAUAUGUGGAGGAACACCAAUGGCGAAGGCAGCCUUCUGGGCCAACACUGACGCUCAUGCACGAAAGCGUGGGGAGCAAACAGG